rnacentral:tRNA from 1 species
GUUGGUUAAGUGUAAGUGAUAGCAUUCCAAUUUUUCGUGUUGGAGGAGGCCGUUUGGUCAACCAGUG